rnacentral:misc_RNA from 1 species
GAUGAAGAACGUAGCAAAAUGCGAUAAGUAAUGUGAAUUGCAGAAUUCAGUGAAUCAUCGAAUCUUUGAACGCACAUUGCGCCCGCCAGUAUUCUGGCGGGCAUGCCUGUUCGAGCGUCAUUUCAACCAUCAAGCCCCAGGCUUGUGUUGGGGACCUGCGGCUGCCGCAGGCCCUGAAAACCAGUGGCGGGCUCGCUAGUCACACCGAGCGUAGUAGCAUACACAUCGCUCAGGGCGUGCUGCGGGUUCCGGCCGUUAAACCCCUUUUUUACCCAAGGUUGACCUCGGAUCGGGUAGGAAGACCCGCUGAACUUAAGCAUAUCAAUAAGCGGAGGA